UAAUACCGGCAGUCCAAGUGAUGGCCGAUAUUAUUGGGCCUAAAGCGUCCGUAGCUUGCUGUGUAAGUCCAUUGGGAAAUCGACCAGCUCAACUGGUCGGCGUCCGGUGGAAACUACACAGCUUGGGGCCGAGAGACUCAACGGGUACGUCCGGGGUARGAGUGAAAUCCUGUAAUCCUGGACGGACCACCAAUGGGGAAACCACGUUGAGAGACCGGACCCGACAGUGAGGGACGAAAGCCAGGGUCUCGAACCGGAUUAGRUACCCGGGUAGUCCUGGCUGUAAACAAUGCUCGCUAGGUAUGUCACGCGCCAUGAGCACGUGAUGUGCCGUAGUGAAGACGAUAAGCGAGCCGCCUGGGAAGUACGUCCGCAAGGAUG
rnacentral:rRNA from 1 species